ACUCUUGUGGCGAAAAUGGUAAACGCGGUGGCCCGAGGAGCCAUAGUCUUUGACUUAUGGGUUCAAUUCCCAUCAAGAGUA
rnacentral:tRNA from 3 species